AUACGGAGGGGGUUAGCGUUGUUCGGAAUUACUGGGCGUAAAGCGCACGUAGGCGGAUUAAAAAGUUAGAGGUGAAAUCCCAGGGCUCAACCCUGGAACUGCCUUUAAAACUAGUAGUCUAGAGUUCGAGAGAGGUGAGUGGAAUUCCAAGUGUAGAGGUGAAAUUCGUAGAUAUUUGGAGGAACACCAGUGGCGAAGGCGGCUCACUGGCUCGAUACUGACGCUGAGGUGCGAAAGCGUGGGGAGCAAACAGGAUUAGAUACCCUAGUAGUCC
rnacentral:rRNA from 1 species